UGCUGCGCACGGCCGCCGUUAGUUGGGUGGGGUUGUGGGCGUGUGGCUGUGUGUGGUGGCCGAGGCGGCUCGGAAGGCUUGGCGCUGUCUCUGCCUGUCUCCCCUGUCUGCAGUGCGCUGCGUUUCACAGGACGAUUUUGCCUCUUCGUAGCCCGACGGGAGACUUUAAGCACCAAUCCAGGAAACCCCUUGCGGAGCAGAGCCCCAAGUGCCUCCCUUCCUCGUGAGGUUGGAGCUUGUGAAAUGCAGCCCCGGGCCGCGUGCUGAAUUACGAUUAUGGAGCUGCCUGAGGUCACGGAUGAGGUCUCUUGCGACAGCUGAGCUGCAGUCAGAUCUGUUCAGAGAACACAAAGUGCGGAAGCAGCCCUGUCCCUCUCAGCAAGCACUCUGAUGCACACCCACACGUGUCCUCUCUCUCUGGCCCAGCAUCAUCGGGGGAGAACUCCCCGAUUGCUGAUGAUUACCAAACCGUAGCUGACCAAACAAAGCUGGAUGCAGUGGAGGGUGUGAGCCUGGCCUCUGAGGAGCUGAAAUUGGGCGACCACCUGCCAGGGGAAGAGGCCACAGCCGUGACUCCCGCCUUGGAGCCAAAGAUUGACUUGGUCCCUGAGAGAGAGGAGCCGGAGGGUACUGAGCCGCCGCGUGUAGCGCCGGAGCAGAGCUCAGAGCUGCCAUCUGUGUGGCGAGAGGAAAGCAGCGGGACUCCACCGCCAGCACGGAGGGAUGGUGAUGGGCCGCCAGCACCACGACCAGCAGGUGACAGUGCGCUGGUGGAAGGCACUGACAGCGCUGUGGUGGAAACCAUCAAGAAAGUGCAUAUUGCUGAAGAGGACCACUUCAUUGAGGGUGAGACGGGAGAACAGGUGGAAACUGAGCUGCUCAGUCAGAUAGUAAGUGGAGGGCCUGAAACAAAAGAAGAGGAAACAGGAGAAGUGGAUGGCGCAGCAGCGACAGAGAUAGAGACAACUGGUAACAAAGACUAGAAGCUGCAUCUGUAUGAACAUCCUCUUGUUGGGCCGGCCCUUCUGUCCACAUGAAAGUUGUUUAAUUUCGCUGCGUUGGGAAAAUAGAGCUUUUUAUGGAUGGAGCCACAAACCAGAAUAAGAAGCAUCAAAGGAGGUUUUAUGUAUGUUUUUGAAGUCAAGCUGCCAAGACUUCAAGUGUUUGAAAUACCUGACCUGGUUCCUCCCUGCCACAGAGUGCCUUCCGUACAUCGCCAGCACCGCGGGGUGAUUCUGACAGACGUAUAACCAUCCAGUUUUCAAUUAGGAGUCUUUCCAGGUUCUAACUUCAAACCUCUGAAACCUUCAGCGUUACAUAGGAUAAAGAAUAUAGUGUAGACUGGUUUUAGUUUUAUUUUAAUGGUAGCGUAAGCAGAAAGUCAGAAAGGGAAGUCCUACUUCUGAGAACUCCUGCACGUGCAGGUAACCCCUCCGACUGCCUGCACAACCGGGUUAUGGAGCUGCUGCAGCGAGCUGCACUCAGAGGAGUGGAACCCUAACUGCCAAUUUGCUGGGUGUAACUGAAUGCAAAGGUUAGUUUUUCAGGCAAGUGAAAGAUACACAGGUUGCAAUAUACAGUAACCAAGUAGGUGCAUUCUGCUAACUCCAUUUUUAAGCAUAUUUACUGAAAGGAGGGAAAAAAAGGUAUUUUUAACCAGGAGGAGAAUGUUUUAGUCUUCUGAAGUCUGGCAUACUUAAAAUACAAAUCCACAGUUGUUAGCACGCAUGGUGAUUAAUAGGGCAUCUUUAGCUAUGUAGCACCUUACAUACACUCACAGCUUCUAAGAUACCUAACUGGUGACUUAUGUAAGCCUGUUCCCAUAGGAGAGGUCAUU